rnacentral:rRNA from 1 species
UAAGGAAUAUUGCUCAAUGGGAGAAAUCCUGAAGCAGCAACGCCGCGUGGAGGACGAAGGGUCUAUGACUUGUAAACUCCUGUAAAGAAGGAAAAAAUUCCCAUUUGAUGGGAGAUGAUGGUACUUCUGGAGUAAGCCCCGGCUAACUACGUGCCAGCAGCCGCGGUAAUACGUAGGGGGCAAGCGUUGUCCGGAUUUACUGGGUGUAAAGGGUGCUCAGGCGGAUUUGUAAGUCAGAGGUGAAAUCUUACAGCUUAACUGUGAAACUGCCUUUGAUACUGCAAGCCUAGAGUAUGGAAGAGNGUGAUGGAAUAUCUGGUGUAGCAGUGAAAUGCGUAGAUAUCAGAUAGAACACCAAUGGCGAAGGCAGUCACUUGGUCCAUUACUGACGCUAAAGCACGAAAGCGUGGGUAGCAAACA